rnacentral:rRNA from 1 species
AUUGAACGCUGGCGGCAUGCCUUACACAUGCAAGUCGAACGGCAGCACGGGAGCAAUCCUGGUGGCGAGUGGCGAACGGGCGAGUAAUAUAUCGGUACGUGCCCAGUCGGGGGGGAUAACGCAGCGAAAGCUGUUCUAAUACCGCAUACGAUCUAUGGAUGAAAGCGGGGGAUCGCAAGACCUCGCGCGAUUGGAGCGGCCGAUAUCAGAUUAGCUAGUUGGUGAGGUAAAGGCUCACCAAGGCGACGAUCUGUAGCUGGUCUGAGAGGACGACCAGCCACACUGGAACUGAGACACGGUCCAGACUCCUACGGGAGGCAGCAGUGGGGAAUUUUGGACAAUGGGCGAAAGCCUGAUCCAGCAAUGCCGCGUGCAGGAUGAAGGCCUUCGGGUUGUAAACUGCUUUUGUACGGAACGAAACGGUGAGCUCUAAUACAGUUUGCUAAUGACGGUACCGUAAGAAUAAGCACCGGCUAACUACGUGCCAGCCGCCGCCGUAAGAC